rnacentral:lncRNA from 1 species
GUAUACGAUGCCUCUCCAGAAUCACCUUGUUCUUUCUGGAUCUAUUCAGAAUCUGAAACUCCUAGAAAAGAAAAAUGCAAGAUGCAUGAGAUAUGUUCCUGACAAAAAAGGAAAAGAGAAUGAGGUGGAAUUCUGCGUUGAGACAGGAUCUCACUAUGUUGCCUUGCAUGGACUGGAACUCCUUGGCUCAAGAAAUCUUCUUGCCUCAGCCUCCCAAAUAGCUAGGACUAUAUGCACAUGCUACUACACCUGGUGGAAAAUGAAGCACAGAGAAGUUCAGUGAUGGACCUCAGAUACUACCAGCAGAAAGCAGAAGAGCUAGGAUUUCAACUUAGGAUGUCUGGAUCCACAGUCUGCACUCCUACCCACUAUGCUACACUGCCUCUAACUAUGAGGAAGCAAGGGCAUUUUUUUUUUUCUGGUGACUAAAAAGAUAAGAGUUCAAGUAUGUGGCUCCUGAUAAUCUAACUUAUACAGCCUGGAAAAAUUGAUAGUUACUAUAUCCAGACUGUCUCAUUCAAUUAACAGUUUCUCAAGUAAUCUUCUAGUUACUGUCGUAUUUUAUCUGUAUCAACUUAGCAAACCAAGUCCAAAACAUUUUAUAUGUG